UACGGGGGGGGUAAGCGUUGUUCGGAAUUACUGGGCGUAAAGGGCUCGUAGGCGGCCAACUAAGUCAGACGUGAAAUCCCUCAGCUUAACUGGGAACUGCGUCUGAUACUGGAUGGCUUGGAUUCGGGAGAGGAAUGCGGAAUUCCAGGUGUAGCGGUGAAAUGCGUAGAUAUCUGGAGGAACACCGGUGGCGAAGGCGGCAUUCUGGACCGACAUUGACGCUGAGGAGCGAAAGCCAGGGGAGCAAACGGG
rnacentral:rRNA from 1 species